rnacentral:sRNA from 1 species
AUAUUACUAAACAUUUGUUCGUGGUGUCAUGUUGUUUUAAUAUAAUGACAUAAUACAAAGCAAAAUCAAAGGAUGUUAACUUGAAUCUUGAUUUUUUUUUUUUUUUUUAGAUUUUCUAUUCAGAAAUAUAGUGAACAGAUGAAGCAGUAUUUUAAAGUUUUAUCGGUGGAAUGAAGGCCAUAAACUCGGUUUUCCCGGCAUGAAGUGAACACGUGAUUAUUGUGUUGAUACAGAGUGACUGUAGCUCCUCGUAACAUUUAAAUCACAAAAUGGUUAGGUAAGGGGAGCCUGGUUCUUUCCGUGAAGAAAAAAAUUACAUCAAAAUCUAAUGUAAGUAUCUGAAAUUAAAAUAUAUAUAAAAGUGUAAUUAACGGUUGAAAUAAGUGAAGACUAUUAUUAUCCAAUU